rnacentral:snRNA from 14 species
UCAAGACGGUCCUGGAAGCUGACAUUGGCGCCGACGUCUCGACAGCGCUUGUCAAGGGAUGCAAGUGGGUGGAGAUCGACGGCGUCAAGGACGAGAACUACGAGAUGGCCCUGCGCCAGGACGCGGCGCGUCGAUUUGGGCAGCAGAA